rnacentral:rRNA from 1 species
GGCGGCUGCUUUACACAUGCAAGUCGAACGGUAACAGGUCUUCGGAUGCUGACGAGUGGCGAACGGGUGAGUAAUACAUCGGAACGUGCCUAGUAGUGGGGGAUAACUACUCGAAAGAGUAGCUAAUACCGCAUGAGAUCUACGGAUGAAAGCAGGGGACCUUCGGGCCUUGUGCUACUAGAGCGGCUGAUGGCAGAUUAGGUAGUUGGUGGGGUAAAGGCUUACCAAGCCUGCGAUCUGUAGCUGGUCUGAGAGGACGACCAGCCACACUGGGACUGAGACACGGCCCAGACUCCUACGGGAGGCAGCAGUGGGGAAUUUUGGACAAUGGGCGAAAGCCUGAUCCAGCAAUGCCGCGUGCAGGAUGAAGGCCCUCGGGUUGUAAACUGCUUUUGUACGGAACGAAAAGCCUGGGGCUAAUAUCCCCGGGUCAUGACGGUACCGUAAGAAUAAGCACCGGCUAACUACGUGCCAGCAGCCGCGGUAAUACGUAGGGUGCAAGCGUUAAUCGGAAUUCUGGGCG